UACGUAGGGUGCGAGCGUUGUCCGGAAUUAUUGGGCGUAAAGGGCUCGUAGGCGGUUUGUCACGUCAGGAGUGAAAACUCGGGGCUCAACCCCGAGCCUGCUUCUGAUACGGGCAGACUAGAGGUAUGCAGGGGAGAACGGAAUUCCUGGUGUAGCGGUGAAAUGCGCAGAUAUCAGGAGGAACACCGGUGGCGAAGGCGGUUCUCUAGUACGGUACUGACGCUGAGACGCGAAAGCGUGGGGAGCGAACAGG
rnacentral:rRNA from 1 species